rnacentral:tRNA from 2 species
GGGGUUGAAGCUCAGUUGUAGAGCACAUACUUAGUGUGCAUGAGAUUCUGGGUUCAAUCCCAGCACCUCA